UUAAGCGACUAAGCGUACACGGUGGAUGCCCUGGCAGUCAGAGGCGAUGAAGGACGUGCUAAUCUGCGAUAAGCGUCGGUAAGGUGAUAUGAACCGUUAUAACCGGCGAUUUCCGAAUGGGGAAACCCAGUGUGUUUCGACACACUAUCAUUAACUGAAUCCAUAGGUUAAUGAGGCGAACCGGGGGAACUGAAACAUCUAAGUACCCCGAGGAAAAGAAAUCAACCGAGAUUCCCCCAGUAGCGGCGAGCGAACGGGGAGCAGCCCAGAGCCUGAAUCAGUGUGUGUGUUAGUGGAAGCGUCUGGAAAGGCGCGCGAUACAGGGUGACAGCCCCGUACACAAAAAUGCACAUGCUGUGAGCUCGAUGAGUAGGGCGGGACACGUGGUAUCCUGUCUGAAUAUGGGGGGACCAUCCUCCAAGGCUAAAUACUCCUGACUGACCGAUAGUGAACCAGUACCGUGAGGGAAAGGCGAAAAGAACCCCGGCGAGGGGAGUGAAAAAGAACCUGAAACCGUGUACGUACAAGCAGUGGGAGCACGCUUAGGCGUGUGACUGCGUACCUUUUGUAUAAUGGGUCAGCGACUUAUAUUCUGUAGCAAGGUUAACCGAAUAGGGGAGCCGAAGGGAAACCGAGUCUUAACUGGGCGUUAAGUUGCAGGGUAUAGACCCGAAACCCGGUGAUCUAGCCAUGGGCAGGUUGAAGGUUGGGUAACACUAACUGGAGGACCGAACCGACUAAUGUUGAAAAAUUAGCGGAUGACUUGUGGCUGGGGGUGAAAGGCCAAUCAAACCGGGAGAUAGCUGGUUCUCCCCGAAAGCUAUUUAGGUAGCGCCUCGUGAAUUCAUCUCCGGGGGUAGAGCACUGUUUCGGCAAGGGGGUCAUCCCGACUUACCAACCCGAUGCAAACUGCGAAUACCGGAGAAUGUUAUCACGGGAGACACACGGCGGGUGCUAACGUCCGUCGUGAAGAGGGAAACAACCCAGACCGCCAGCUAAGGUCCCAAAGUCAUGGUUAAGUGGGAAACGAUGUGGGAAGGCCCAGACAGCCAGGAUGUUGGCUUAGAAGCAGCCAUCAUUUAAAGAAAGCGUAAUAGCUCACUGGUCGAGUCGGCCUGCGCGGAAGAUGUAACGGGGCUAAACCAUGCACCGAAGCUGCGGCAGCGACGCUGAUGCGUUGUUGGGUAGGGGAGCGUUCUGUAAGCCUGCGAAGGUGUGCUGUGAGGCAUGCUGGAGGUAUCAGAAGUGCGAAUGCUGACAUAAGUAACGAUAAAGCGGGUGAAAAGCCCGCUCGCCGGAAGACCAAGGGUUCCUGUCCAACGUUAAUCGGGGCAGGGUGAGUCGACCCCUAAGGCGAGGCCGAAAGGCGUAGUCGAUGGGAAACAGGUUAAUAUUCCUGUACUUGGUGUUACUGCGAAGGGGGGACGGAGAAGGCUAUGUUGGCCGGGCGACGGUUGUCCCGGUUUAAGCGUGUAGGCUGGUUUUCCAGGCAAAUCCGGAAAAUCAAGGCUGAGGCGUGAUGACGAGGCACUACGGUGCUGAAGCAACAAAUGCCCUGCUUCCAGGAAAAGCCUCUAAGCAUCAGGUAACAUCAAAUCGUACCCCAAACCGACACAGGUGGUCAGGUAGAGAAUACCAAGGCGCUUGAGAGAACUCGGGUGAAGGAACUAGGCAAAAUGGUGCCGUAACUUCGGGAGAAGGCACGCUGAUAUGUAGGUGAAGUCCCUCGCGGAUGGAGCUGAAAUCAGUCGAAGAUACCAGCUGGCUGCAACUGUUUAUUAAAAACACAGCACUGUGCAAACACGAAAGUGGACGUAUACGGUGUGACGCCUGCCCGGUGCCGGAAGGUUAAUUGAUGGGGUUAGCCGCAAGGCGAAGCUCUUGAUCGAAGCCCCGGUAAACGGCGGCCGUAACUAUAACGGUCCUAAGGUAGCGAAAUUCCUUGUCGGGUAAGUUCCGACCUGCACGAAUGGCGUAAUGAUGGCCAGGCUGUCUCCACCCGAGACUCAGUGAAAUUGAACUCGCUGUGAAGAUGCAGUGUACCCGCGGCAAGACGGAAAGACCCCGUGAACCUUUACUAUAGCUUGACACUGAACAUUGAGCCUUGAUGUGUAGGAUAGGUGGGAGGCUUUGAAGUGUGGACGCCAGUCUGCAUGGAGCCGACCUUGAAAUACCACCCUUUAAUGUUUGAUGUUCUAACGUUGACCCGUAAUCCGGGUUGCGGACAGUGUCUGGUGGGUAGUUUGACUGGGGCGGUCUCCUCCUAAAGAGUAACGGAGGAGCACGAAGGUUGGCUAAUCCUGGUCGGACAUCAGGAGGUUAGUGCAAUGGCAUAAGCCAGCUUGACUGCGAGCGUGACGGCGCGAGCAGGUGCGAAAGCAGGUCAUAGUGAUCCGGUGGUUCUGAAUGGAAGGGCCAUCGCUCAACGGAUAAAAGGUACUCCGGGGAUAACAGGCUGAUACCGCCCAAGAGUUCAUAUCGACGGCGGUGUUUGGCACCUCGAUGUCGGCUCAUCACAUCCUGGGGCUGAAGUAGGUCCCAAGGGUAUGGCUGUUCGCCAUUUAAAGUGGUACGCGAGCUGGGUUUAGAACGUCGUGAGACAGUUCGGUCCCUAUCUGCCGUGGGCGCUGGAGAACUGAGGGGGGCUGCUCCUAGUACGAGAGGACCGGAGUGGACGCAUCACUGGUGUUCGGGUUGUCAUGCCAAUGGCACUGCCCGGUAGCUAAAUGCGGAAGAGAUAAGUGCUGAAAGCAUCUAAGCACGAAACUUGCCCCGAGAUGAGUUCUCCCUGACUCCUUGAGAGUCCUGAAGGAACGUUGAAGACGACGACGUUGAUAGGCCGGGUGUGUAAGCGCAGCGAUGCGUUGAGCUAACCGGUACUAAUGAACCGUGAGGCUUAACCUU
rnacentral:rRNA from 5 species